UCAAUCAUCAUUUCCGAGCUUUGGGUUUAUAUAAACAAGAAUUUCCUAACGCAACGCUGCAGUAUUCGCAACGAGCGAGGAAGUAUAUGUAGAAAGUUCGAGAAAAUAUUUUGCGAAAGGCGAAGAAGAGAAUUGAGAGAUAUGGCAAGAAUUGUCGUAAUUUUAACGUUGGUGUUGUUAAUCGCGUCCACAGGAAUGGCCUCCUGGUCUGGAGGCCAUUAUCGCUCGAGUAGGACCAAAAAUCGCUGUCGCCCCCCCGGCACGUAUUGCAAAAGAACGGAUCCGAAUGGAAAAACAACAAAUGAAAGAAAAUGCUGCAGUGGAAGAUCAUGUGCGUUUAGUUUUCAAUCGGUCGGGGGACACCAGUUUUAUAAGUGCAAAACAUAGUACAAAUGAACUAUUGCUUUGUCAAGAAAUUUACCGAGAUUAUUGUGUGUUGCAUUAUUUGUGUGUCUGUAAAUCACUAUAAAAGAAUGAUAAACAUGCCGUCUAUAAAUCAAGUAUUAAAAAUAUAUUGGAAACAGUUCUUCUGAAUG